rnacentral:rRNA from 1 species
AUUGAACGCUGGCGGCAGGCCUAACACAUGCAAGUCGAGCGAGCGGCGGACGGGUGAGUAAUGUAUGGGGACUGCCCGGUCGUUGGGGCUAACUACUGGAAACGGUAGCUAAUUCCGCAUCCUUUCGGAUAACCCAUCUGUGCUUAGCUAGUAGGUGAGGUAAUGGCUAAGCUAGGCGACGCUCCCUAGCUGGUCUGAGAGGGGGAUCAGCCACACUGGGACUGAGACACGGCCCAGACUCCUACGGAGGCAGCAGUGGGGAAUAGUGCACAAGGGGCGCAAGCCUGAUGCAGCCAUGCCGCGUGUAUGAAGAAGGCCCGAGGGUUGUAAAGUACUUUCAGUCGGGAGGCGGUACCGAAAGAAGAAGCACCGGCUAACUCCGUGCCAGCAGCCGCGGUAAUUC